GAUUAACGCUAGCGAUGUGCCUAAGGUAUGCAAGUCGAACGCUUGAAUUUUGGUGCUUGCACUAAAAUUCGAGAGUGGCAGACGGCUGAGUAAUAGAUAGGAACAUACCCUUAAGUCGGGCAUAGCUCACCGAAAGGUGGGGUAAAUCUCGAUAGACCCUUGCGUAACAGUGUAGGGUAAAACUCCGGUGCUUAAGGAUUGGCCUAUGGCCUAUCAGAUUGUUGGUGAGGUAACGGCUUACCAAGUCUAUGACGGGUAGCUGGUCUGAGAGGAUGGUCAGCCAGACUGGGACUGUGAUACGGCCCAGACUCCUACGGGAGGCAGCAACUAGGAAUUAUGCACAAUGGACGAAAGUCUGAUGCUGCGACAUCGCGUGGAGGAUGAAGGUCUUAGGAUCGUAAACUCCUUUUAUGGGUGAACAAGUUCUGAGUGUAACCCAUGAAUAAGUGUCUGCCAACCACGUGCCAGAAGCAUCGGUAAUACGUGGGACACAAGCGUUAUCCGGAUUUACUGGGCGUAAAGAGAUGCGUAGGCGACUUCUUAAGUCUUCUGUUAAAUCUAUCGAUUCAAUCGAUAAACUGCAGCAGAUACUAAGUUGAUUGAGUAAGGUAGAGAAAAGGGGAAUUCCUGGUGGAGAGGUUAAAUUCGUUGAUAUCAGGAGGAACACCAAUGGCGAAGGCACCUUUUUGGACCUUUACUGACGCUAAGGCUCGAAAGCGUGGGGAGCAAAACGGAUUAGAUACCCGUGUAGUCCACGCUGUUAACUAUCCCUGUUAGGUGUCUGUCUAAAUCUUUGAAUGUCCUUCGGGACUGGAUUGGAUCAGAUGGGUGCCGCAGCUAACGCGUUAAACAGGGCGCCUGGGGAGUACGGUCGCAAGACUAAAACUCAAAAGGAAUUUGACGGGGACCCGCACAAGCAGUGGAGCGCCUGGUUUAAUUCGAUGACCAGCGAAGAACCUCACCUGGGCUUAAAGUGUAGCUGCAACGCCGGUGAAAGCCGGAAUCCUUCGAGGGUGCUACAUAGGUGCUGCAUGGCUGUCGUCAGCUCGUGUCGUGAGAUGUAGGGUUAAGUCCCACAACGAGCGCAACCCCUAUCUGAUGUUAAAAUUACUUCAGAGACUGCCCCAUCUCAGUGGGGAGGAAGGAGGGGAUGACGUCCAGUCUUCAUGGCCCUUAUGUCCAGGGCUACACAGACGCUACAAUGGCUAUUACAAUGGGCUGCCAAACCGCGAGGUGGAGCUAAUCCCAUCAAAAAUAGUCUCAGUUCAGAUUGCAGGCUGCAACUCGCCUGCAUGAAGUCGGAAUUGCUAGUAAUCGUGCAUCAGCUUGGCACGGUGAAUACGUUCUCGGGUCUUGUACACACCGCCCGUCAGGGCAUGGGAGUCGCUUUUGCUCGAAGUCCUGCUUAAUGUAGGCCGACAGUAAGGGUGGCGACUGGG
rnacentral:rRNA from 1 species